rnacentral:rRNA from 1 species
UUACGACCACAUCGCGUUGAAAUCGGUUCCCGUACGAUCACCGAAGUUAAGCAACGUCGAGCCUGGUCAGUACGUAGCUGGGUUACCAUUUGGGAAUACCAGGUGCUAU